GAUGAACGCUGGCGGCGUGCCUAAUACAUGCAAGUCGAGCGAACAGAUGAGAAGCUUGCUUCUCUGAUGUUAGCGGCGGACGGGUGAGUAACACGUGGGUAACCUACCUAUAAGACUGGGAUAACUCCGGGAAACCGGGGCUAAUACCGGAUAAUAUUUUGAACCGCAUGGUUCAAUAGUGAAAGACGGUUUCGGCUGUCACUUAUAGAUGGACCCGCGCCGUAUUAGCUAGUUGGUAAGGUAACGGCUUACCAAGGCGACGAUACGUAGCCGACCUGAGAGGGUGAUCGGCCACACGGGAACUGAGACACGGUCCAGACUCCUACGGGAGGCAGCAGUAGGGAAUCUUCCGCAAUGGGCGAAAGCCUGACGGAGCAACGCCGCGUGAGUGAUGAAGGUCUUCGGAUCGUAAAACUCUGUUGUUAGGGAAGAACAAAUUUGUUAGUAACUGAACAAAUCUUGACGGUACCUAACCAGAAAGCCACGGCUAACUACGUGCCAGCAGCCGCAGUAA
rnacentral:rRNA from 1 species